rnacentral:rRNA from 1 species
GGCCUAACACAUGCAAGUCGAGCGCCCCGCAAGGGGAGCGGCAGACGGGAGAGUAACACGUGGGAACAUGCCCUUCAGUUCGGAACAACCCAGGGAAACUUGGGCUAAUACCGAAUACGUCCGUAAGGAGAAAGAUUUAUCGCUGAAGGAUUGGCCCGCGUCCGAUUAGCUAGUUGGUGAGGUAAUGGCUCACCAAGGCGACGAUCGGUAGCUGGUCUGAGAGGAUGAUCAGCCUCAUUGGGACUGAGACACGGCCCAAACUCCUACGGGAGGCAGCAGUGGGGAAUAUUGGACAAUGGGCGCAAGCCUGAUCCAGCCAUGCCGCGUGGGUGAUGAAGGCCCUAGGGUUGUAAAGCCCUUUCGGCGGGGAAGAUAAUGACGGUACCCGCAGAAGAAGCCCCGGCUAACUUCGUGCCAGCAGCCGCGGUAAUACGAAGGGGGCUAGCGUUGCUCGGAAUCACUGGGCGUAAAGCGCACGUAGGCGGGCUCUUAAGUCGGUGGUGAAAUCCUGGAGCUCAACUCCAGAACUACCUCCGAUACUGGGAGUCUUCGAGUCCGGGAGAGGUGAGUGGAACUCCGAGUGUAGAGGUGAAAUUCGUAGAUAUUCGGAAGAACACCAGUGGCGAAGGCGGCUCACUGGCCCGGUACUGACGCUGAGGUGCGAAAGCGUGGGGA